AUUGAACGCUGGCGGAAUGCUUUACACAUGCAAGUCGAACGGCAGCACGGGGCAACCUGGUGGCGAGUGGCGAACGGGUGAGUAAUACAUCGGAACGUGCCCAAUCGUGGGGGAUAACGUAGCGAAAGUUACGCUAAUACCGCAUACGAUCUACGGAUGAAAGCGGGGGAUCGCAAGACCUCGCGCGAAUGGAGCGGCCGAUAUCAGAUUAGGUAGUUGGUGGGGUAAAGGCUCACCAAGCCAACGAUCUGUAGCUGGUCUGAGAGGACGACCAGCCACACUGGAACUGAGACACGGUCCAGACUCCUACGGGAGGCGGCAGUGGGGAAUUUUGGACAAUGGGCGCAAGCCUGAUCCAGCCAUGCCGCGUGCGGGAAGAAGGCCUCGG
rnacentral:rRNA from 1 species